rnacentral:rRNA from 1 species
GAAGAGUUUGAUCAUGGCUCAGAUUGAACGCUGGCGGCAGGCCUAACACAUGCAAGUCGAGCGGAAACGAGUUAACUGAACCUUCGGGGGACGUUAACGGCGUCGAGCGGCGGACGGNUGACUAAUGCCUAGGAAAUURCCCUGAUGUGGGGGAUAACCAUUGGAAACCGUGGCUAAUACCGCAUGAUGCAUACGCGAAAGAGGGGGACCUUCGGGCYUCUYGUGUCAGGAUAUGCCUAGGUGGGAUUAGCGAGUUGGUGAGGUAAGGGCUCACCAAGGCGACGAUCCCUAGCUGGUCUGAGAGGAUGAUCAGCCACACUGGAACUGAGACACGGCCCAGACUCCUACGGGAGGCAGCAGUGGGGAAUAUUGCACAAUGGGCGCAAGCCUGAUGCAGCCAUGCCGCGUGUGUGAAGAAGGUUCGGGUUGUAAAGCACUUUCAGUCGUGAGGAAGGUAUAUGCGUUAAUAGC